AGUGAACGCUGGCGGCGUGCCUAAUACAUGCAAGUCGAACGGAGUGGCGCACGGGUGGGUAAGGUAUAGAUAAUCUGCCCUACACUAGAGGACGACAGUUGGAAACGACUGCUAAUACUACAUAGUGUAGGAUGAGGCGAUAUUGUAUCAGCUAGCUGGUGAGGUAAUGGCUCACCAAGGGUAUGAAGCAUAACUGGUCGGUGAGGAUGGUGAGUCACCCCCGAACGGAGACACGGGCCAGACUCCUACGGGAGUGAGCAGUAGGGAGUAUUGCUCAAUGGGGGAGUCCCUGAAGCAGCAUCGCCGCGUGGAGGAUGAUCCUUUGCGGGGCGUAAACUCCUUUUGUUAGGGAUGCGGUACCUAACGAAUAAGCACCGGCUAACUCCGUGCCAGCAGCCGCGGUAAUAC
rnacentral:rRNA from 1 species